UGGGGAAUAUCGGACAAUGGGCGCAAGCCUGAUCCAGCCAUGCCGCGUGUGUGAAGAAGGCCUUUUGGUUGUAAAGCACUUUAAGCGAGGAGGAGGCUACUUGGAUUAAUACUCUAGGAUAGUGGACGUUACUCGCAGAAUAAGCACCGGCUAACUCUGUGCCAGCAGCCGCGGUAAUACAGAGGGUGCGAGCGUUAAUCGGAUUUACUGGGCGUAAAGCGUGAGUAGGCGGCUUUUUAAGUCGGAUGUGAAAUCCCUGAGCUUAACUUAGGAAUUGCAUUCGAUACUGGGAAGCUAGAGUAUGGGAGAGGAUGGUAGAAUUCCAGGUGUAGCGGUGAAAUGCGUAGAGAUCUGGAGGAAUACCAAUGGCGAAGGCAGCCAUCUGGCCUAAUACUGACGCUGAGGUACGAAAGCAUGGGGAGCAAACAGGAUUAGAUACCCUGGUAGUCCAUGCCGUAAACGAUGUCUACUAGCCGUUGGGGCCUUUGAGGCUUUAGUGGCGCACGUAACGCGAUAAGUAGACCGCCUGGGGAGUACGGUCGCAAGACUA
rnacentral:rRNA from 1 species